UACGUAGGGGGCUAGCGUUGUCCGGAAUCAUUGGGCGUAAAGAGCGUGUAGGCGGUCCGGUAAGUCCGCUGUGAAAGUCGGGGGCUCAACCUCGAAUGCCGGUGGAUACUGUCGGGCUAGAGUGCGGAAGAGGCGAGUGGAAUUCCUGGUGUAGCGGUGAAAUGCGCAGAUAUCAGGAGGAACACCGAUGGCGAAGGCAGCUCACUGGGACGGUACUGACGCUGAGACGCGAAAGCGUGGGGAGCAAACAGG
rnacentral:rRNA from 1 species